UGAGGAAGAAGUUAGGUGACACACGG
rnacentral:piRNA from 1 species